GAAUGCUGACAUAAGUAACGAUAAAGCGGGUGAAAAGCCCGCUCGCCGGAAGACCAAGGGUUCCUGUCCAACGUUAAUCGGGGCAGGGUGAGUCGACCCCUAAGGCGAGGCCGAAAGGCGUAGUCGAUGGGAAACGGGUUAAUAUUCCCGUACUUGGUGUUACUGCGAAGGGGGGACGGAGAAGGCUAUGUUGGCCGGGCGACGGUUGUCCCGGUUUAAGCGUGUAGGUGUGUGUUCCAGGUAAAUCCGGUUCACUUUAACACUGAGGCGUGACGACGAGGCACUACGGUGCUGAAGCAACAAAUGCCCUGCUUCCAGGAAAAGCCUCUAAGCAUCAGGUAACAUCAAAUCGUACCCCAAACCGACACAGGUGGUCAGGUAGAGAAUACCAAGGCGCUUGAGAGAACUCGGGUGAAGGAACUAGGCAAAAUGGUGCCGUAACUUCGGGAGAAGGCACGCUGACACGUAGGUGAAGUGAUUUACUCAUGGAGCUGAAGUCAGUCGAAGAUACCAGCUGGCUGCAACUGUUUAUUAAAAACACAGCACUGUGCAAACACGAAAGUGGACGUAUACGGUGUGACGCCUGCCCGGUGCCGGAAGGUUAAUUGAUGGGGUCAGCGCAAGCGAAGCUCCUGAUCGAAGCCCCGGUAAACGGCGGCCGUAACUAUAACGGUCCUAAGGUAGCGAAAUUCCUUGUCGGGUAAGUUCCGACCUGCACGAAUGGCGUAAUGAUGGCCAGGCUGUCUCCACCCGAGACUCAGUGAAAUUGAACUCGCUGUGAAGAUGCAGUGUACCCGCGGCAAGACGGAAAGACCCCGUGAACCUUUACUAUAGCUUGACACUGAACAUUGAGCCUUGAUGUGUAGGAUAGGUGGGAGGCUUUGAAGUGUGGACGCCAGUCUGCAUGGAGCCGACCUUGAAAUACCACCCUUUAAUGUUUGAUGUUCUAACGUGGACCCGUGAUCCGGGUUGCGGACAGUGUCUGGUGGGUAGUUUGACUGGGGCGGUCUCCUCCUAAAGAGUAACGGAGGAGCACGAAGGUUGGCUAAUCCUGGUCGGACAUCAGGAGGUUAGUGCAAUGGCAUAAGCCAGCUUGACUGCGAGCGUGACGGCGCGAGCAGGUGCGAAAGCAGGUCAUAGUGAUCCGGUGGUUCUGAAUGGAAGGGCCAUCGCUCAACGGAUAAAAGGUACUCCGGGGAUAACAGGCUGAUACCGCCCAAGAGUUCAUAUCGACGGCGGUGUUUGGCACCUCGAUGUCGGCUCAUCACAUCCUGGGGCUGAAGUAGGUCCCAAGGGUAUGGCUGUUCGCCAUUUAAAGUGGUACGCGAGCUGGGUUUAGAACGUCGUGAGACAGUUCGGUCCCUAUCUGCCGUGGGCGCUGGAGAACUGAGGGGGGCUGCUCCUAGUACGAGAGGACCGGAGUGGACGCAUCACUGGUGUUCGGGUUGUCAUGCCAAUGGCACUGCCCGGUAGCUAAAUGCGGAAGAGAUAAGUGCUGAAAGCAUCUAAGCACGAAACUUGCCCCGAGAUGAGUUCUCCCUGAGACUUAGAGUC
rnacentral:rRNA from 1 species